rnacentral:rRNA from 1 species
ACACGUAUGGUGCAAACGUUGUUCGGAAUCACUAGGCCUAAAGAGCGCGUAGGCGGCUUGGUAAGGUAGGUGUGAAAUCCCUCGGCUCAACCGAGGAACUGCACCUAAUACUGCCUGGCUAGAGUGCAGGAGGGGAGAGUGGAAUUCCUGGUGGAGCGGUGAAAUGCGUAAAUAUCAGGAGGAACGCCGGUGGCGAAAGCGACUCUCUGGCCUGCUACUGACGCUGAGGCGCGAAAGCUAGGGGAGCAAACGGGAUUAGAAACCCCAGUAGUCC